CAGUGUCAUUUUCUGUUUCAUGUGAAAUCCUGCAUGGAUUAUUCCACUUGCUGCUCAGGCUCUUGUAGAGUCCUAGUUAUGGAUCACUUCUGUGGCAAAGUGUCAAGAGACAGUUUUCACUUCAAAGCUUCAGAAACUACAUUCACUGAAAUCAAUGUAGGUGAAACUGAUCUGGCAUGUGCAGCUGUGCUUGCAGCGAUGUUCUGUGGCUCCUCAUCAAAACAGUAAGAUUGUCAACUGCCCCAAUUUCAAUAUGGUUGCCCUUUGUUCUGCUGUGAAAGUGCAAGACUGAUGGAAAGAAUCUAUAGUGUUCUGCAAGUACAAGGCUUUUACAUGGAAGGAUUAGCAGCCUUGUAGCUAACAGUGGUGAGUCCUGAUGUGGUUAUGUGUCCUGCACCCUGCCUGGUUUUGGUGGCCUCCACCCUUUGCCCAGGAGCGAACUGACUAUUCUCCACUGGACCAAUGAAUGUGGCUUCAGGCACAUGGCCGAGGUGUGGAGUGAUGCCUGGUAGCUGGUGCCUGGAAGCAGUUGAUGCUAACUGCUGUAAGGGGCCUCACACAAGAAUGCAUCCAAAGAUGUAAUUUUUGCAGCUGUAAUGAGUGCAUCCUGAGGAGGGCAGAUAACUGACCAGACACCUGUGGAAGCCAAAAAUAAGAAAGCUGUGAAACUUUACAGACGGAGCCAUAAGCCAAGCCAAGACCUUAUAUGAAAAAAGACUCCAUGGAAAGGACACUAAGAGGCACCUCUCCAGCAACCACUAGGGACCACCACAGACCACCGAAAACCCCCAUGGAAGCCCCUCAAAGGCCCUUCCCCAAAUUUUAGUACGUUUGUGCAACGUAUUAACAUAUGCACUAGAUCCUCUAGAAAUAGGUGUGUACUCAGAAAUUACAUGAAUAUUCACCCCUUUGAUUGUAUGUAAUAAGCGUGCCUUUGUCUUUUGGCAUGCACGUUAGGUGGGAUGAUGGCCUGUGCAUCCAGCGCUGCAAUAAAGAAUUGCCGGUAUUCUAAAACUUCCAACUAAGUCUUACGAGGGUUCUUUUGAGACCGGAUUUGCGGUAACAUGAGGGGCAGGGGGAGUGUUGGGUGCCCCUGAGCCCUGGAGCAGCCUUGCUUCUGGGACUUAUGUACAUAACUAGAUAAACAC